UGAUAUUCCAGUUUACUUAAAAUAUUUGUGCUUUUUAGCUUUUUCAUAUAUCUUUCUUUUGAAUCAUUAUUCUCUAUAACCUUUCCUUGCAAUUGCUUAUGUUUUAAGGCUGUGGUUAGAGAGAAGAAUCCUUCCAGAAUCCAUUAUUCGUUGUCAUAUCCGGGAACUGGACACCUAUCAUAGUUCAGCAUAUGUAACCUGUUAGAGAAAGCAACUCAAGUUUUCAGUUUCCUGGAUUUUGCAUGCCUCAUGCUUAAAAAUGAAGAUGAAGAAGGAAGGGAUUCUGAUAGGGGGAACUUUGAGACUGACACAUGUGUUGAUGUGGGCUCGUUAGGGGUGGGCAAAAAAUAUUCUUAUCCCCAAGGCCCAAGUACUCUAAGGUCCUUGACAAAAAAAAAGAGUGUAGCUAAUUGGAUUCUUUUUUUUCUCCCGUUCUCCCUUUCUUUCCUUCGGUCCUUCAGUCUUACUGCCGCCGUGCUUAGCUCUGGUUCAAACUCUGCGCCUCCACUCUCAAACUCCCAGGUGCUCAAAAUUCAUUCUAGAGAAAAGUCAUCAAAAGUUUGACGAGCUGAGUAGCUGAUUAACACUUCUAAUUAUGUUCUUGGUGUGAUGCAGAAUCAAUGGUUCUAAAUGUAAAUUUUACAUUAUGUUUACCUAUGUAAUGGACAUGGAAUUGAUUUUCAGUUAAACCACCACUGAACACGUUUUUUUGGUUUUUUAAAGUAUCUUUCAACUCAACAAGUCAAUAUCUUGAUUGGAGCUA